rnacentral:rRNA from 1 species
GAUGAACGCUGGCGGCGUGCCUAAUACAUGCAAGUCGAGCGAACAGAUGAGGAGCUUGCUCCUCUGACGUUAGCGGCGGACGGGUGAGUAACACGUGGAUAACCUACCUAUAAGACUGGGAUAACUUCGGGAAACCGGAGCUAAUACCGGAUAAUAUAUUGAACCGCAUGGUUCAAUAGUGAAAGACGGUUUUGCUGUCACUUAUAGAGGGAUCCGCGCCGCAUUAGCUAGUUGGUAAGGUAACGGCUUACCAAGGCAACGAUGCGUAGCCGACCUGAGAGGGUGAUCGGCCACACUGGAACUGAGACACGGUCCAGACUCCUACGGGAGGCAGCAGUAGGGAAUCUUCCGCAAUGGGCGAAAGCCUGACGGAGCAACGCCGCGUGAGUGAUGAAGGUCUUCGGAUCGUAAAACUCUGUUAUUAGGGAAGAACAAAUGUGUAAGUAACUAUGCACGUCUUGACGGUACCUAAUCAGAAAGCCACGGCUAACUACGUG